rfam:Glycine max cultivar Williams 82 chromosome 2, whole genome shotgun sequence.
GACUCAUUAGUUUAAUUGGUUAGAACAUUAUGCUAAUAAUCUGAAAGUUAUAAGUUUGAGCCUUGUUUGGGUCA